AAAUUAAAGAAGUAAAAAUGUAAUUAAGGACAAAAUAAAUAAAUAAGUGGUAUGGAAAUGAAUUUAUCAAGCCAAUUCUACAUUUCUGUAUAUAUUUCUGUAUUUAUUUUUAAAUACGGCAGGGUCAGUCCUCCAUAUUCAUCAGUGGGAUUAU